rnacentral:rRNA from 1 species
UACGUAGGUCCCGAGCGUUGUCCGGAUUUAUUGGGCGUAAAGCGAGCGCAGGUGGUUUAUUAAGUCUGGUGUAAAAGGCAGUGGCUCAACCAUUGUAUGCAUUGGAAACUGGUAGACUUGUGUGCAGGAGAGGAGAGUGGAAUUCCAUGUGUAGCGGUGAAAUGCGUAGAUAUAUGGAGGAACACCGGUGGCGAAAGCGGCUCUCUGGCCUGUUACUGACACUGAGGCUCGAAAGCGUGGGGAGCAAACAGG